GAUUUCUGGUUGGAUGCGCCUGGCCCGCCAUGGUUUCAUGUGUGAGUGCCGGUUGUGCGUCUACCAUCCUUCUAGUACUAUAAGUAUUAAGUAAUUAAUCUUAUAGAGCUAGAUCUUUUACUUUGAAAAAAUUAGAGUGUUUCAAGCAGGCAUGUUGCUAUGAAUACAUUAGCAUGGAAUAAUAAUUUAGGACUUCGGUUCUAUUUUGUUGGUUUCUAGAACUGCAGUAAUGAUUGAUAGGGAUAGUUGGGGGUGCUAGUAUUCAGUGGCCAGAGGUGAAAUUCUCGGAUUCACUGAAGACUAACUUAUGCGAAAGCAUU
rnacentral:rRNA from 1 species